rnacentral:rRNA from 1 species
AAGCGGUGGAGCAUGUGGUUAAUUCGAAGCAACGCGAAGAACCUUACCAGGUCUUGACAUCCCGAUGCUAUUUCUAGAGAUAGAAAGUUACUUCGGUACGUCGGUGACAGGUGGUGCAUGGUUGUCGUCAGCUCGUGUCGUGAGAUGUUGGGUUAAGUCCCGCAACGAGCGCAACCCCUAUUGUUAGUUGCCAUCAUUCAGUUGGGCACUCUAGCGAGACUGCCGGUAAUAAACCGGAGGAAGGUGGGGAUGACGUCAAAUCAUCAUGCCCCUUAUGACCUGGGCUACACACGUGCUACAAUGGUUGGUACAACGAGUUGCGAGUCGGUGACGGCGAGCUAAUCUCUUAAAGCCAAUCUCAGUUCGGAUUGUAGGCUGCAACUCGCCUACAUGAAGUCGGAAUCGCUAGUAAUCGCGGAUCAGCACGCCGCGGUGAAUACGUUCCCGGGCCUU